AUGGUUAUAGGAGCCCCGGCCUCCUCAGAACCCUCGGUGAUGCUUCAGGAGGAAUUGGGGCCACAUAGACACAACAGGACGUUGACUUCCUCAGGAUCACCAGUGUGGAUUUGGGGAAAUAUGGGGAUGUGUCGAUGUGGACAGAAAACCCCAGGCUUCUCAGGGCCUGUUGUGAGGCCUAAGAAAAAUGUGGGUGCCACAUCCACACUGACAGGAGUCUCCAGCCUCCUCAAGACCCACUGUGAAGUUUUGGGAAGAUUUGGGGCCAUAUCCAUGCUGACAGGAGCCCCCAGCCUCCUCAGGACGCACUGUGAAGGAUUGGGAUGAUUUGGGGCUACGUCCGUGCUGACAGGAGCUCCCAGCCUCCUCAGGAUGCACUGUGAAGGAUUGGGAUGAUUUGGGGCUACGUCCGUGCUGACAGGAGCUCCCAGCCUCCUCAAGUCUUAUGGUGAGACAGAGGAAAAUGUGGGGCCACGUCCUCCUCAGGACCUGCACUUUGGCUUCGGGACACAUGGGGCUGCGUCUAGGCUGACAGGAACCCACAGCCUCCUCAGGACCUGCGGUGAGUUUUCUGGGGGACGUGGGUCCAUGUCCACACUGACAGGAGCCUCUGGCAUCCUUAGAAACUGCUGUGAGGCUUCCAGAGGAUGUGAGGCAUAAUCCAGGUUGACAGGAGACCCGGGUCCUCAGGACCCGCUGACUAUGACUCAGGAACACGUGGGGCCACGUCCCCACUACAGGAACCCGGCUUCCUCAGGACCCCCUGGAGGACUCUGGAGGUGCCGUUGGGGGCCACGUCCAUGUCAGAAGGGACUCCUCAGAACCAUAGGGUAAGUGAAUGGGUAGAAUGAAUGGAAGGUCAGGGGAGGGGAGGCAGUUGGUGGUUAGUCUUAGGUUAGAUGUUAGGGGUUAGUGAUUAUGCUUAUGGUUACGGAUUAGAGGUUAGGGUGAGGGAUAAGGGUAAGGUUCAGUUGUUAGGAGUUAGGAUCGGGGUUUGGAUUCGGGACAGGAGUUAGAGUUAGGGUUAUGGUUUAGACUUUAGGGAUUAGGGCAGGAGGUUAGGAGUUGGGGUUUGGGUUAUGGUUAGAGUUAGGUUUAAGCUAGGUUUGCAGUUGGGGUUAGGGGUUACGGUGUGAGUUAGGGUUAGAGGUUAGGUUUAGGGUUUAGAGUUAAAGUUAGGGCUAGGUUUAGGGUUAAGGCGAGGGUUAGUUUUAG
rnacentral:lncRNA from 12 species